GAUGAACGCUAGCUACAGGCUUAACACAUGCAAGUCGAGGGACCGGCGCACGGGUGAGUAACACGUAUCCAACCUGCCCUUUACUCGGGGAUAGCCUUUCGAAAGAAAGAUUAAUACCCGAUGUAAAGGAUGGGGAUGCGUUCCAUUAGGUUGUUGGUGAGGUAACGGCACACCAAGCCUUCGAUGGAUAGGGGUUCUGAGAGGAAGAUCCCCACAAUGGAAAUGGGACACGGUCCAGACAAGUACGGGAGGCAGCAGUGAGGAAUAUUGGUCAAUGGGCGUUUGCCUGAACCAGACAAGUAGGGUGAAGGAUGAAGGCUUAUGGGUCGUAAACUUCUUUUAUAUAAGAAUAUGUAUUAUAUGAAUAAGGAUCGGCUAACUCCGUGCCAGCAGCCGCGUAAUAC
rnacentral:rRNA from 1 species